rnacentral:tRNA from 1 species
GCCUCUGUAGCUCAGGGGAUAGAGCAUCAGUUUCCGGAACUGGGGGUCGGAGGUUCAAUUCCUCCCAGAGGCGCAA